GUGGAGGACUGAAGAGGAAAUGAAAAUACUUGACAUUGUCAGAAGGAGCAAAAGACAAAGUGAGAAAGCAAAGUGUAGGCCUUGUCAACGACAGACUAGAAUUCUUUUUAUGAGUCAAUAGUGGAAAUCAGUAUCUAUGCAAAGAUGAAAGGAAGGCUCAUAGCGACGCAGAACCAGUGCUCGGCCUGGGGUGCUCAUUCAUGAUGGUGGGCUCCUUGGAGGCGUCUGUCCUGCUCUUUUGAGACCUGGAAAUGUAGUAAGUAGGCUUUCGGUAAAUACCUGCUGAAUUCUUCAUGAAUAAAGUGUCACUAAGACCAAUUUUUAUCUAAGUGUGUGUCAGUUAUCUUCCCUGUCAUAGGCCCUCGGUUUAUUAGGGAAAAAACAAGGAAAUGCAAAAGGGUCACAUCUCAAGGGUGAUGUUGUUAAGUUUAAGGAAUUAACCAGAUAUUGUGAUAAAUGACACGAACAGCAUGAUUCUGAAUUGUAAAGGUAGAGAAACCUACUUCUAAUAUUUGGGGAGAUUUCUAUUUUUAUAAGUUGAUGCUCGAAGACCCCUGGUUCUUAAUACUAUUAAGCUUCAGUUAGCCAGACAUUUACAAAUACCCAGGCCCUGAACUUCUUUUGUUUAGCUAUCCUCCACUGUGUUUCUACAACAAAACCUGCCUGCUGUGUUAUCCAAGUUUAUCAUGUCCUGUGCCAUAAAGUGAUUUGUUUAAAUAUUGUGUUCUUCGGGAUUUUGAAAAUUUUGUUGUCGUAAAUCUUUACAUACAUUUUCCUAAGGAACUGGACAUUCUGUAAUUAUAUAAAUGUGAUCUGUAAGUUCUUUGUGCAGAAUGUUUUGAAGGAUCAUAUUUUGCUUAAAUGUAUGGUUGAUACAUAACUAAUGUCUUAAGAAAAUACAUUUGACCAGACCAUAAACUGUAUUGUCUUCUCUUUAUUACUAACGCUCUUAACACAACUGUGGAGCUGGUGUAUACCAAGUGUUGCAAGUAAGGACGAGGGAACAAAGGUGAUGAAUGCCCACAGGUCAUAGAGAGGAGCAUAUACUUCUAAACGCCAGUUCUUUCUCAGGAACAAAAAAGAAAUGAUAGGAAUCAUCUAGGUUCCAAACCUAACGAAUUAUCAGAGCCACCUAGAGAAUUAAAACCACGGCUCUCUGGAAACCACUGCUUAAGUUUGGAAUCCCUGAAUCUGGCAAGGUGUGUGGGAAUAUCUGUGUAGCAAAGUAGUCCUGGUGCCUGCUUUGUGUGGCUGUGUUUGAGAGUGAGGCCUACCCUUCCUCUUUGCAGAUGGACGGAAUUAAGCCCCUGGGGACACAGUUCUAGAUCUUGGAAAGCGUACAUUCUGCUUCUUGGUCGUCCAGCAGCAAAGUGCAGAGAGCAAACCAGUCACAAGAUUCUACUGAGUCCAUUUAUGAAAUAAAGCUCAAGAUCUAGUGUAA